rnacentral:rRNA from 1 species
AACGAACGCUGGCGGCAGGCUUAACACAUGCAAGUCGAGCGCCCCGCAAGGGGAGCGGCAGACGGGUGAGUAACGCGUGGGAAUCUACCGUGCCCUGCGGAAUAGCUCCGGGAAACUGGAAUUAAUACCGCAUACGCCCUACGGGGGAAAGAUUUAUCGGGGUAUGAUGAGCCCGCGUUGGAUUAGCUAGUUGGUGGGGUAAAGGCCUACCAAGGCGACGAUCCAUAGCUGGUCUGAGAGGAUGAUCAGCCACAUUGGGACUGAGACACGGCCCAAACUCCUACGGGAGGCAGCAGUGGGGAAUAUUGGACAAUGGGCGCAAGCCUGAUCCAGCCAUGCCGCGUGAGUGAUGAAGGCCCUAGGGUUGUAAAGCUCUUUCAACGGUGAAGAUAAUGACGGUAACCGUAGAAGAAGCCCCGGCUAACUUCGUGCCAGCCGCCGCGGUAAAAC